AUGGCUCUGCCCAAAAAUGGAGGAUUCAGGGCAAGAUGGAGGGCGUAGCCCUCGCCCUUUCAUUAUGAGUGCAAAGGUACAUAUGAAUUUAUUUGUCAAUCUGUAGAGCCAACAAUACUCAAGCAUGUAAAUCAAACCUUUCACCAUUGAAGAGAAGCUACAAUGAACCUCCUACAUAAAUAUUCAUUUGAAAAUCUGCCACUGGACUGUUUUCACUCAUUCAUUCAACUAGAUCCACCUGCCUAUGUAAUUCCAGUCUUUAUUUUGUUUGUUGGGUGAAAAUGGCAAUCUCAUCGACUUACUGUAGGCCUCAGGCUCUUGGAAAUAAAUGAUGAACCAUUCAGGAGCUACACAUCUGAGACGCAGCCCACAGAAUGGUUUCUGCCCUGAGAAAGAUGACUUGGGACAAAUCGGAGCCAAACCAUUUCCUUCAAUCCCUGAGCACAUUGUUUCCCUCCCGUGACUUCUGCAAUCCAGAAACAGCUGCAAAUUCCAGUAAAACAACAUUGGGAUCCAAUUCCUGAAGCCAUCUUUGUCCUUUUGUUUUUCUCUCUGGAGGGAGGAAAGGGAAGAAUCCUUGAAAAGCUGCCAUGGUGCAUUAUUUCCAAGCGUCUGUUAAUGGAGGUGUGAGCCAAGCAGCCCGUUCUACUGGAGGAAAGGAGAGAGCAAAAAUGGGAAAAGGGAAGAUAUAAAAAAAUGAUGGAGAAAAAUUCGAGUGAGUGAAAUAAAAUUACACAAUGGGGGCGGGGGAGCGAAAACAUUGCUCAUGCAAAGCAUUUGAAAUGCGCUCUUCAGAAGGCUUCAUCUCACCUUGCUUUCCACUUUGGGUGAGCAGGGAAGCCAGUCUAUUUUAGUAUUUAAUUUGGACCCUUCAUACUUGAAGCUAACCGAAUCAGAGGACAUCAGGAUCUAUAAAAAUGAUACUGUGAACUGAAGGUGCCUAAAGAAGAUACUAUUUCACAAAAUUAAUUGCAGUAACACACUUGCAACCUCUACAAUACACACUGGGGAGAAACAAUGUGAUUGAUGUUCCAGUAAAGAGCGGUGGGCACUGGAGUUAGAUCAUCUGGGAUUUGAAUCUUGACUCCCCCAUCAACUAUCUGUGUGACUUUAGGCAAGUCACUUAACCUCUGUUCCUUAGUUUCCUCACUAUUACAAUGG